GCCAGUGUGGCAUAAUGGUUUGUGUGUUGGAUUACAACUCUGGAGACCAGGGUUCAAUUCCCAGCUUGGUCA